CGUACGAUUAGAUAGUUGGUGGGGUAAAGGCCUACCAAGUCUACGAUCGUUAACUGGUCUGAGAGGAUGAUCAGUCAGACUGGAACUGAGAUACGGUCCAGACUCCUACGGGAGGCAGCAGUUAGGAAUCUUCCACAAUGGACGAAAGUCUGAUGGAGCAACGCCGCGUGCAGGAUGAAGGCCUUCGGGUCGUAAACUGCUUUUAUAAGUGAAGAAUAUGACGGUAGCUUAUGAAUAAGCACCGGCUAACUACGUGCCAGCAGCCGCGGUAAUAAGG
rnacentral:rRNA from 1 species